rnacentral:rRNA from 1 species
UCCUCCAAGGCUAAAUACUCCUGACUGACCGAUAGUGAACCAGUACCGUGAGGGAAAGGCGAAAAGAACCCCGGCGAGGGGAGUGAAAAAGAACCUGAAACCGUGUACGUACAAGCAGUAGGAGCCCCACCACCAAAGCGUUUCGCUUUGCGUGGUGCGCAAAAUGCGUAACGACAGCAUGAUGGACGGUUAACAGAGCGUCAGCGACGUUCAACCUCAAAAAUCAGGCAGUGGAGCGUUUUGGGGUGGGGUGACUGCGUACCUUUUGUAUAAUGGGUCAGCGACUUAUAUUCUGUAGCAAGGUUAACCGUAUAGGGGAGCCGCAGGGAAACCGAGUCUUAACUGGGCGUUAAGUUGCAGGGUAUAGACCCGAAA